rnacentral:rRNA from 1 species
GACGAACGCUGGCGGCGUGCUUAACACAUGCAAGUCGAACGGAAAGGCCCUGCUUUUGUGGGGUGCUCGAGUGGCGAACGGGUGAGUAACCCGUGAGUACCCUGUCCUUGACUGUGGGAUAACUUCAGGAAACUUGGGCUAUUACCGGAUAGGAGCUCCUGCUGCUUGGUGGGGGUUGGUAAGUUUCGGCGGUUGGUGAUGGAAUCGCGGCCUAUCAGCUUGUUGGUUGGGUAGUCGCUUACCAAGGCCUUGACGGGUAGCAGGGCUGCUAGGGUGACCGGCCACACUGGGAUUGGACUACGGCACGGCCCACUACGCGACGGAGCGGAGGAGAAGGUAACACAAGAGGCUGAAGCCUGGUGUAGCAACGCCGCGUGCGGGAAGACAGCCAGCGGGUAGGAUACCGCUGUUGCCUGUGACGAAAUGAGAAUGACGGUAAUGGGUAAAGAAGCUCCGGCUAACUACGUG